rnacentral:rRNA from 1 species
CAUAGUAGUGGUGAAUCAUCGAAUCUUUGAACGCACCUUGCACUUUUAGAGUCAAUCUAAAAGUAUACCUGUUUGAGUAUCAUAAACAUUUAUCCAAGCAAUUGGGAUUUGAAGUUUAACGAAUUUUUGUUAUUCUUUUAAAUGCAUUGAGGAAAUGGAAUAAAGGCAGCUUUAUUCUUGAGUGAGGAUAUUUGCAUUCGUGCAAAGUAAUCAUGAAAGAGUAUAUGUUGACCAUGAUUCCGAUAUAUUUUCUUUAGAGGGAGGAGAAGAGCAAAGCAAAGCAAAGCGUGAGGGUUACCCCAGGCCAAGUGAUAUGCCAUCUUUUCUCAUCCCCAGGCACAAAUGUGAUCUCAAAUCAGGCAAGACUACCCGCUGAACUUAAGCAUAUCAAUAAGCGGAGG